AUGGCCUACCCCCUCGUCCUGUCCCCCGGGAGGUUCGCUCUCACCGCCGCCACGCGCGUUGGUGCGGCUCCGCCAGCUUCUUCUCCCCCUGCGCGCGUCUGUCUCCUCGCGCCCGCCCGCACGCCCCGCCUGGCGCGCUCGACGACGACGGUGGGGCCCUUGCGCGCGCACGCGCGCCUGAGAUUCAAGCAGCGCGCUCCGGCGGACGACGGCGGCGCCACCAAGGAGCCUUGCCCGCGCGCUCCAGCGGAUAAAGAGGGCGUCACGAAGACCGAUCCGUACGCCAAGCUGUGGCCGUGGGGAGAAUACUUCCCCGACGAAGACGAAUUACGCCCGGAGGACUUCUCCACCAUGCAAGAACGGUUCUCGCGCGAAUCCACGGAGGCGGUCGCGGCGCUAAAAGCCAUGGUCGCCGGCGUGUUCCGUCCACUCCUGGAUAACUUCCACCACUUCCGGUCUCAGAAGACCAUAUAUGACACGGAGGACUACCACAUCGGCAUGCCCUUCGGAGCGUUGAUCGCCUGCGUCGGGUGCUAUCAACUGUGGAAGAUGGAUCCGUCCAUGUUUGUCAGCACCGCUCUCGGCUAUGCGUUCUACAAGCUCAGUGUCGUCUCGUUGGAGCUCCGGAAACAGGGCUUUGCCAAUGACCUCAUCACCCGACUUAAAUUUGUUAUCAUGGUCCUCAUCAUGGUCGUAACUUACAAUCGAAAAUAUUCUCCACUUGAUGCUAUCAUGGCGCCUGUUUUUAUGCUCUAUGCAUUGACAUUUGCUUAUGAAGUGACUGGCGUCAAGAAGCAGGUCAAGUAUGCUGUGCCGAUACUUCUCUACAUGCUAAGGCACCCAAAAUGUAGACGGGAGCUAUGCGCAAUGUUGUCUGAGGUUGAAGUUGAACUUGUAUCAGAGUGUGGGAUCGCGGUCAUAUAA
rnacentral:rRNA from 1 species